AAUCAACGCUGGCGGCGUGCCUCAGACAUGCAAGUCGAACGAUUAAGACUUCCUUCGGGGAGUGUAUAAAGUGGCGCACGGGUGAGUAACACGUAAGUAAUCUACCUUCGAGUGGGGAAUAACAUCGGGAAACCGAUGCUAAUACCGCAUAAUGCAGCGGCAUCGCAAGAUGACAGUUGUUAAAGGAGCAAUUCGCUUGAAGCGGAGCUUGCGGCAGAUUAGCUAGUUGGUAAGGUAAUGGCUUACCAAGGCUACGAUCUGUAUCCGGUCUAAGAGGACGGUCGGACACACUGACACUGAAUAACGGGUCAGACUCCUACGGGAGGCAGCAGUCGGGAAUUUUGGGCAACGGGCGAAAGCCUGACCCAGCAACGCCGCGUGAGGGAUGAAGUAUUUCGGUAUGUAAACCUCGAAAGAAUGGGAAGAAUAAAUGACGGUACCAUUUAUAAGCUCCGGCUAACUACGUGCCAGCCGCCGCCGUAAUAC
rnacentral:rRNA from 1 species